rnacentral:rRNA from 1 species
AUUGAACGCUGGCGGCAGGCCUAACACAUGCAAGUCGAACGGUAACAGGAAGAAGCUUGCUUCUUUGCUGACGAGCGGCGGACGGGUGAGUAAUGUCUGGGAAACUGUCUGAUGGAGGGGGAUAACUACUGGAAACGGUAGCUAAUACCGCAUAACGUCGCAAGACCAAAGAGGGGGACCUUCGGGCCUCUUGCCAUCGGAUGUGCCCAGAUGGGAUUAGCUAGUAGGUGGGGUAACGGCUCACCUAGGCGACGAUCCCUAGCUGGUCUGAGAGGAUGACCAGCCACACUGGAACUGAGACACGGUCCAGACUCCUACGGGAGGCAGCAGUGGGGAAUAUUGCACAAUGGGCGCAAGCCUGAUGCAGCCAUGCCGCGUGUAUGAAGAAGGCCUUCGGGUUGUAAAGUACUUUCAGCGGGGAGGAAGGGAGUAAAGUUAAUACCUUUACUCAUUGACGUUACCCGCAGAAGAAGCACCGGCUAACUCCGUG